UCAACUAUGGGGUUGUAACAAACACCGCAACAUCAAAAUCAUACAAAUACUCCCAAAAAAAUCAUACGUAGCAUGGUCAAUUCAACUUAGUGGACUUACAAAGGGAUCUUAAGAUCCCAAAGGUCACGGCGGAAAUACAAAGAAUCCAAGAAAAACCAGUCUCGCCUCAGCCAGCACGAGGAUGUUGAAGCGUCCAAACUCCUAUAUAACCGAAACGCCGUCAAAAGAUCAAAAAGAGCAAAGACAUAAGAGGGUUGACAGCGCUAUUUGCAUAGCACAGCCAGUGUGACAUCAUUGACAGGGCGGCUGUCACGUCGUUCUGGGGGUUUUUAAAGAAAAAAACUUAAAUGUCUGGCAGCUCAUUACCAAUUUUAUGGUUUUCUUGUUCUUGGCUGCUUUUGUGGAAUGUCGUUUCUCUAGCAGUAGUUGGGCAAGGAAUGUAACAGUAUUAUACAUGAAAUUCGACGCUAACCGAAGAUAAUUCUAGGGAAAAUAGAGCGCAAAUUGUGAAUGAGGCUGAUAUUGAAUUCUGGUAUGGCCACCAUGAAGUCGGGAUUUGAAUCCAAUUGAGCACGUUUGAACCAACUGGAGCGACGUGACCAAGAACCCAGCGUCCAGGUCCCUAACAGAGAAGGAAAAGACUGCUCUCGCAGAAUGGGAAAAUUCCUACGGCUUCAUUAAAAUCCAUCCCUCAGCUUUACCGGAUAUGGUGCUGGGGCCGGUCAACUUCUGCCCAGUGACUAUAUUCCCGGAUUUCCAUAAGACGC